rnacentral:rRNA from 1 species
UACGGAAGGCAGCAGUGGGGAAUAUUGCACAAUGGGCGCAAGCCUGAUGCAGCCAUGCCGCGUGUAUGAAGAAGGCCUUCGGGUUGUAAAGUACUUUCAGUCGUGAGGAAGGUGUUAAGGUUAAUAACCUUAGCAAUUGACGUUAGCGACAGAAGAAGCACCGGCUAACUCCGUGCCAGCAGCCGCGGUAAUACGGAGGGUGCGAGCGUUAAUCGGAAUUACUGGGCGUAAAGGGCACGCAGGCGGUUAAUUAAGUUGGAUGUGAAAUCCCCGGGCUUAACCUGGGAAUGGCAUUCAAGACUGGUUAGCUAGAGUCUUGUAGAGGGGGUAGAAUUCCGAUGUGUAGCGGUGAAAUGCGUAGAGAUGUGGAGGAAUACCGGUGGCGAAGGCGGCCCCUGGACAAAGACUGACGCUCAUGUGCGAAAGCGUGGGGAGCAAACCAGGGAUUAGAUACC